UAAUGAAAUUUAGUCUUUAUUUUUGUUUAAGUGUAAAUUUUUUUAGAAAAAUUUUAAGUUAUAGGUAAAAUUUUAAUUUAUUUUURAGUAGUUAUUUAUGCUUGUAAAAUUUGUUUAUUGAGUUAGAUUAGUACCUAAUUAAUCAAAAGUUAAUAAGGCAGGAGUAAAGUGGCAUUUAAACUGAAAUAAUAUUGGCAGAUUUACUAAAUUAUCUUUGGAGGUUGAGUAAUAAUUGAGAACCCUCAUUAACUACUUUUUCUUUUGGCUCAUGUAUGAUCGUUUUUUUUUUGUUUAAAAUUUAAAAAAUAAUUGUUUUUGUUUUUAAAAUAGAUAUAUAUUUGGCUUAUGAAUUAAAGUUUGAUUUGACCUACAUUGUUAAAAAAGUUGGAGUAAUAUUUUAGUUUAGUUAUAAAAUUGUAAAAGACAGUAAAAAAAUUUUUAUGUUUUUUUGAAGAUUAUUUAGUAAUGGUACAAAUCAUCCAUCAAUUGCCCAAA
rnacentral:rRNA from 1 species